UAUAGGCUGAGUUUAUGGCCAAAUGGAAGAAGCCCUUCCAGUCUUUCUGUGUGCCACGUUCUCAGUGCAAGGUGCUGCUUGGUCAGUAAGUUUGGCUGACUGAAUAGGAUGAGAUCAGAGCACUGAAGUCUGAUUUGAAGAUAUUGUGUGGACUCGGGAAGAGAUAAGCUAAACUCUGAAGCCAAGAAAACCAGAUAAGACCAGAAGGCACAAGAACAGUCUCAGUUCUGGGAUUCCAGGCCUGCCCCACCUCACUUGGCUGAUUGGAACUGCUUGCCUCCUCAAGAGACUGUAAACUUAUUGAGAGUAGGGGCCACCUGCAUUCUGUGUACUACUUUGUACAAAUUCAUCACACAGAGGAAGGACUCAGUAAAAGGAUCCAAUCCACUUCAUGAGUAUCCUGCUUAAAGUUCCUGCCAUAAGCAAAACAUGGAAACUCCAUGGGCUCAGAAUAGGCAACAACAAUCAUGAAAAAAGAAGAGAUAUUUCCAAUUCUAAAACGCAGUACAAAGCUUCAAUAACCAAGGCAGUGUGGUACCGGCAUAAGAAAAACACACAGGGGCCGAUGAGAUGACUCAGCAGAUCAAAGACCUUGCCACUAUGCUUCGUGACAUGAAUUCAGUCCUCGGGACCCACACCUUGGAAGGAGAAAACAGACUCCAGUGACCAAUAAAAACAUUGAACGGGACAGAAUUGAGGUCAGAACCAAUAAAGCAUUAAACACUUACUUGAAGAUAGAUUUGGCUCAGGGGUUCCAGCUAACCAUACAAUGACCCAGUUCUGUCCCUCUCUGGAAGGCACCGUUUAGAACCUGUUGACUACAUCCAAUGUUAUGUCCUUUAUGGGCCGUUCUCUGAGAAUUUCAGUUACUAUACAUGCCCUUCUAUUCAGUUUCUUAUUUGUCUUUGUACUGCCCUUGAGACGUCCCACACUGCUGAAACCAUAGUUCACACGUACGCAUUAUAAUUACUCACAGAUGUGCCUCAGCGCUUAUGCUAGGUCAUAACAUAGCUAAGAGGAGGAAUUGUCCGUUCCUUGAUAUUUUUGCCUUUCAGAAUUUUGGGAUGCUUAGUAGGUAUUAGAAAUG